UGGGGAAUCUUGGACAAUGGGCGCAAGCCUGAUCCAGCCAUGCCGCGUGGAUGAUGAAGGCCUUAGGGUUGUAAAAUCCUUUCGUGGGGGACGAUAAUGACGGUACCCCAAGAAGAAGCUCUGGCUAACUUCGUGCCAGCAGCCGCGGUAAUACGAAGGGGGCUAGCGUUGUUCGGAUUUACUGGGCGUAAAGCGCGUGUAGGCGGGUCGUUAAGUUGGGGGUGAAAUCCCGAGGCUCAACCUCGGAACUGCCUUCAAAACUGGCGACCUGGACUCAAGCAGAGGCAAGUGGAAUUGCGAGUGUAGAGGUGAAAUUCGUAGAUAUUCGCAGGAACACCAGUGGCGAAGGCGACUUGCUGGGCUUGUAGUGACGCUGAGACGCGAAAGCGUGGGGAGCAAACAGGAUUAGAUACCCAAGUAGUCCCUGAGCGGGCUGGCAAGGCGCAU
rnacentral:rRNA from 1 species